GUCUCUGGCCACACUACCUCGGACACACCCACUCUUAUCUGAUCUUGGACGCUAAGCCGGGUUAGGCCUGGUCAGUACUUGCAUGGGAGAAGAGUCUCUAGGGACUGGAGAGA
rnacentral:rRNA from 1 species